rnacentral:rRNA from 1 species
AUUGAACGCUGGCGGCAUGCCUUACACAUGCAAGUCGAACGGCAGCACGGGGGCAACCCUGGUGGCGAGUGGCGGACGGGUGAGUAAUGCAUCGGAACGUGCCCUGAAGUGGGGGAUAACGCAGCGAAAGCUACGCUAAUACCGCAUAUUCUGUGAGCAGGAAAGCAGGGGAUCGCAAGACCUUGCGCUUUGGGAGCGGCCGAUGUCGGAUUAGCUAGUUGGUGGGUAAAGGCCUACCAAGGCGACGAUCCGUAGCGGGUCUGAGAGGAUGAUCGCCACACUGGGACUGAGACACGGCCCAGACUCCUACGGGAGGCAGCAGUGGGGAAUUUUGGACAAUGGGCGAAAGCCUGAUCCAGCCAUGCCGCGUGAGUGAA